rnacentral:rRNA from 1 species
AGUGAACGCUGGCGGUAGGCCUAACACAUGCAGGUCGAACGGCAGCACAGUAAGAGCUUGCUCUUACGGGUGGCGAGUGGCGGACGGGUGAGGAAUACAUCGGAAUCUACUUUUUCGUGGGGGAUAACGUAGGGAAUCUUACGCUAAUACCGCAUACGACCUACGGGUGAAAGCAGGGGAUCUUCGGACCUUGCGCGAUUGAAUGAGCCGAUGUCGGAUUAGCUAGUUGGCGGGGUAAAGGCCCACCAAGGCGACGAUCCGUAGCUGGUCUGAGAGGAUGAUCAGCCACACUGGAACUGAGACACGGUCCAGACUCCUACGGGAGGCAGCAGUGGGGAAUAUUGGACAAUGGGCGCAAGCCUGAUCCAGCCAUACCGCGUGGGUGAAGAAGGCCUUCGGGUUGUAAAGCCCUUUUGUUGGGAAAGAAAAGCAGCAGGUUAAUACCCCGCUGUUCUGACGGUACCCAAAGAAUAAGCACCGGCUAACUUCGUG